AAAGACCAGUUAUGGAAGGAGAAGCUAGCUCAACCAUAUAGCGAAUCUUGUGCAGUUGAAGGUAACGACAGUAGUAAAGCGUAGACAGUGAAACAUUCGAACUGAAACCAAAUGGUGAACGUGAUAUCCCAGAAAGUAUGAUGUAGUGGAAGCCUAUAUGUUCUAGAACAUAGUAGGCAAAAGAAGAUUGGAGGUCAAACUAGUGAAAAUACAAAAAAUUUUCAACCACCGGGGUCGCAGGUGU
rfam:Orientia tsutsugamushi Boryong complete genome